AUAACAACUAAAGUUUAUGUUUUUCCUUCUCUGCUUCAGAUUUUGUUUAAAUAUAAGAACUGGAAAACCAAAGCUUUGUCAUCUCUAAAACACCUUCACUGAGAAACGAAGUGUCCUUCUCAUCCCAUGGGGCUGUUCUGGGUAUCAAGUAAGAUACUGAUAUGAAGUGUUUUGUGACUGUUUAGCUUGGCCAUUUGCUGCUCCUACCUCAAAUAGAAGGUAUUCUUUUUUAUUUUU
rnacentral:lncRNA from 1 species